UCAAGCAAUUAAGGGCAUACGGUGGAUGCCUUGGCACUGGUUGGCGAAGAAGGUCGUGGCAAGCUGCGAUAAGCCCCGGGUAGGAGCAAGCAUCCAUUGAUCCGGGGAUAACCGAAUCGGAAAACCGUCUACGGGCGAACCCGUAGAAUCCGUUACUGAAUAAAUAGGUAGCGGAGGCAAUACCAGGGGAAUUGAAACAUCUUAGUACCCUGAGGAAAAGAAAUCAAAAGAGAUUCCCUGAGUAGUGGCGAGCGAAAGGGGAAGAGCCCAAACCGAUCUAUACGUUACAGGCUGGAGCCGCUGUAGGAUCGGUGUUGUAGGUUGUAAACGGAGAGUUCUCCAGGAUUCUCGGGAAGUUACAAAAUCUCAUGUUAGCUGAACCCGCUGGAAAGAGGGCCAAAGAGCGUGAUAGCCGCGUAGGCGAAAACAUAGAGAUCUUCCUGGUUUACAUACCUGAGUAGGGCGGGGCACGUGAAACCCUGUUCGAAUCCGGGAAGACCACUUUCCAAGGCUAAAUACACACCAGUGACCGAUAGUGAACAAGUACCGUGAGGGAAAGGUGAAAAGAACCCCGGGAGGGGAGUGAAAUAGAUCCUGAAACCGUAUGCUUACAAGGUAUUGGAGGGCUAUGAUUCAUGCCUGACAGUGUGCCUUUUGUAGAAUGAGCCGGCGAGUUACUCUAUACAGCGAGGUUAAGCAAUAGGAAUUGCGCAGCCGUAGCGAAAGCGAGUCUUAAAUGGGCGAUUAGUUGUAUGGAGUAGACCCGAAACCGAGUGAUCUAGUUAUGGCCAGGUUGAAGCGUGGGUAAGACCACGUGGAGGACCGAACCGGUAAAUGUUGAAAAAUUUUCGGAUGAGCUGUGACUAGGGGUGAAAGACUAAACAAACUCGGCAAUAGCUGGUUCUCCUCGAAAUAGCUUUAGGGCUAGCCUCAUAUGUUUUGUUGCGGGGGUAGAGCUCUGAUUGGGCUAGGGGGUCCACAAACUUACCAAACCCACUCAAACUACGAAUACCGUAACUUUAGAAUAUGGGAGUCAGACUACGGGAGAUAAGUUCCGUGGUCAAAAGGGAAACAGCCCAGACCAACAGCUAAGGUCCCCAAGUAUAUGCUAAGUGAUAAAGGAAGUGAAGUCGCACAGACACCCAGGAGGUUGGCUUAGAAGCAGCAACCCUUCAAAGAGUGCGUAAUAGCUCACUGGUCGAGUGACUUCGCGCCGAAAAUAAUUGGGACUAAGCAUAUCACCGAAGCUUUGGAUUUGUAGCAAUACAAGUGGUAGAGGAGCAUUCUGUACGGGCUGAAGGUAGACCGCGAGGACUGCUGGACUGUACAGAAGAGAGAAUGCCGGCAUGAGUAACGAUAAAAGGGGUAAAAAACCCCUUCGCCGAAAGCCUAAGGUUUUCUGGGCAAUGUUAAUCAUCUCAGAGUUAGUCGGCCCCUAAGGCGAGGCCUAGCGGCGUAGUCGAUGGGAAGCAGGUUCAUAUUCCUGCACCACCUGGUGGAGGUUAUCGUGAUGGAGUGACGCAGAAGGAUAUAUGCGCAGGGCGCUGGUUGUCCCUGUCCCUAUUCGUAGGCUUGGGUCCCAGGAAAAUCCGGGAUCCUUAUGGCUGAGGAUGUGGGGGAGUUAGUCUUUUAGACGAGCGAAGGUGUAGGUUCCAGGCUGCCAGGAAAAACUUCUAAACGCGAAACCGGGUGACCGUACCGCAAACCGACACAGGUAGGCGGGAUGAAAAUUCUAAGGCGCUCGAGAGAACCCUCGUUAAGGAACUCGGCAAAAUAGUCCCGUAACUUAGGGAAAAGGGACGCCUCAUUAGUGUGAAGCUGAACAGGCAGAGCAUGAAGAGGCCGCAGAUAAAUGGCCCAAGCGACUGUUUACCAAAAACACAGGACUCUGCAAACUCGUAAGAGAAAGUAUAGGGUCUGACACCUGCCCGGUGCCGGAAGGUUAAGAGGAAGUGUUAGCGAAUUAACAUUUGCGAAGCUCUGAAUUGAAGCCCCGGUAAACGGCGGCCGUAACUAUGACGGUCCUAAGGUAGCGAAAUUCCUUGUCGGGUAAGUUCCGACCUGCAUGAAUGGCGUAACGAUCGGAGCACUGUCUCAGCGGAGGGCCCGGUGAAAUUCCAAUCUUGGUGAAGAUGCCAAGUUACCCGCGAUUAGACGGAAAGACCCCAUGAAGCUUUACUGUAUCCUAAUAUGGUAUAGUGGUGGAAGGUGUACAGGAUAGGUGGGAGGCAAUGAACGCAGGGCGUCAGCUCUGCGGGAGCCGAUGGUGGGAUACCACCCUCCUUGCAGCGUUAUACUAACCGAGAUAGGUGGAGAGCCUAUCAGGGACAGUGUUAGGGGGGCAGUUUGACUGGGGCGGUCGCCUCCUAAAAGGUAACGGAGGCGCGCGAAGGUGGGCUCAGGCUGGUUGGGAAUCAGCUGGUGAGUGCAAGGGCAAAAGCCCGCCUGACAGUGAGAGAGACAUCUCGAGCUGAGACGAAAGUCGGUCCUAAUGACCAGGUGGUGCUGUGUGGAAAGGCCAUCGCUCAACGGAUAAAAGCUACCCUGGGGAUAACAGGCUGAUACCGUCCGAGAGUCCAUAUCGACGACGGUGUUUGGCACCUCGAUGUCGGCUCAUCGCAUCCUGGGGCUGUAGUCGGUCCCAAGGGUUGGGCUGUUCGCCCAUUAAAGCGGUACGUGAGCUGGGUUCAGAACGUCGUAAGACAGUUCGGUCCCUAUCUGUCGCGGGCGCAGGAUACUUGAGAAGGCUUCUCCCCAGUACGAGAGGACCGGGAGGAGUGGACCGCUGGUGAACCAGUUGUACUACCAAGUGCAUAUGCUGGGUAGCUAAGUCCAUGAGUGAUAAGCGCUGAAAGCAUCUAAGCGCGAAACAUGCUUCAAGAUGAGGUAUCCCAUCGAAAGAGUAAGGGCCGUUCGAGAAGAGGACGUUGAUAGGCCGCAGGUGGAAGCGGUGUGAGCCGUGCAGCCGAGCGGUACUAAUCGCCCGAGGCCUUGACCU
rnacentral:rRNA from 1 species